rnacentral:rRNA from 1 species
AUUGAACGCUGGCGGCAGGCCUAACACAUGCAAGUCGAGCGGAUGAGAGGAGCUUGCUUCUCGAUUCAGCGGCGGACGGGUGAGUAAUGCCUAGGAAUCUGCCUGGUAGUGGGGGACAACGUUUCGAAAGGAACGCUAAUACCGCAUACGUCCUACGGGAGAAAGCAGGGGACCUUCGGGCCUUGCGCUAUCAGAUGAGCCUAGGUCGGAUUAGCUAGUUGGUGAGGUAAUGGCUCACCAAGGCGACGAUCCGUAACUGGUCUGAGAGGAUGAUCAGUCACACUGGAACUGAGACACGGUCCAGACUCCUACGGGAGGCAGCAGUGGGGAAUAUUGGACAAUGGGCGAAAGCCUGAUCCAGCCAUGCCGCGUGUGUGAAGAAGGUCUUCGGAUUGUAAAGCACUUUCAGUAGGGAGGAAGAGUUGAGUGUUAAUAGUACUCAGCUUUGACGUUACCUACAGAAGAAGCACCGGCUAACUCUGUGCCAGCCGCCGCCGUAAGAC